UACGUAGGGUGCGAGCGUUGUCCGGAAUCAUUGGGCGUAAAGCGCGUGUAGGCGGCUCGAUAAGUCUGCUGUGAAAGUCCAGGGCUCAACCCUGGGAUGCCGGUGGAUACUGUCGAGCUCGAGUCCGGAAGAGGCGAGUGGAAUUCCUGGUGUAGCGGUGAAAUGCGCAGAUAUCAGGAGGAACACCAAUGGCGAAGGCAGCUCGCUGGGACGGUACUGACGCUGAGACGCGAAAGCGUGGGGAGCAAACAGG
rnacentral:rRNA from 1 species